rnacentral:rRNA from 1 species
GACGAACGCUGGCGGCGUGCUUAACACAUGCAAGUCGAACGAAGUGGCGAACGGGUGAGUAAUACGUGGGUAACCUGCCCUCCUUUUUGGGAUAAGCCUUGGAAACGGGGUCUAAUACCGAAUAAAGGGGGAUGGGCUCGCGGCCUAUCAGCUUGUUGGUGGGGUGAUGGCCUACCAAGGCGGUGACGGGUAGCCGGCCUGAGAGGGUGACCGGCGACAUUGGGACGGGGAAGCGGCCCAAGGUACUAAGGGGGGGGGAAGUUGGGGAAAUGGACCAAAGGGCGAAAGCCCUAUGCAGCGGCGCCGAGGGGGGGAUGAAGGCUUUAGGGUUGGGAACCUCUUUCGGUAUCGGAAGGGUAGGUGGAGAAGAAGCGCCGGCUAACUACGUGCCAGCAGCCGCGGUAAUAC